GACGAACGCUGGCGGCGUGCCUAACACAUGCAAGUCGAACGGAGUCUUGCGUCAACACAGAGUGCUUUUUAAAGAGCACUGUGUGUUGAUGUAAGACUUAGUGGCGGACGGGUGAGUAACACGUGAGCAACCUGCCCAUGGGAGGGGGAUAACAUACCGAAAGGUAUGCUAAUACCGCAUAACGUAUGUUUGCCGCAUGACAGACAUACCAAAGAUUUAUCGCCCAUGGAUGGGCUCGCGGCCGAUUAGGUAGUUGGUGAGGUAACGGCUCACCAAGCCGACGAUCGGUAGCCGGACUGAGAGGUUGAACGGCCACAUUGGGACUGAGACACGGCCCAGACUCCUACGGGAGGCAGCAGUGGGGAAUAUUGCGCAAUGGGGGAAACCCUGACGCAGCGACGCCGCGUGAAGGAUGAAGGUCUUCGGAUCGAAACUUUUGUCAUCGGGGACGAGUAAGGACGGUACCCGAGGAGGAAGCCAACGGCUAACUACGUGCCAGCC
rnacentral:rRNA from 1 species